CUUGGCUACGGCGACAUGUACCCCCAGACGUGGUCGGGUAUGCUUGUCGGAGCGCUGUGCGCCCUGUCGGGUGUACUGACCAUCGCCAUGCCCGUCCCCGUAAUCGUCAACAAC
rfam:Salmo salar isolate Sally breed double haploid chromosome ssa23, whole genome shotgun sequence.